CGGGUAAAUUCAUAAAGCAAAUCAAAGAUUUAUAUUUGAACCUGAGUUCACAUUUUUAAGGAGGUGCCAAACAGCAGUGCUAUGUUAAACGCAGCGAUCACGUGCCACCAUUCAUCCUUCAGUGCUUCUCAACUUUAGCCUGAGGCUCAGCGAUGCAAAUUUGUAGCUUCAGGCCGUUUUGUGUCCUGGAAUAAGCAAUGAAGAACGUUCAGAAAUACUGUACAAGAAAGGCUUGCUUGACAAAUCGUUUACAAGAUUCGAAAAGAACAAGAUAAACAUCAAAGAUUAAUUCUUUUUACACGGGUGCGUACGUAUUAAACUAGAAGUUGUCACAUCCCUAGCUUAGCUGAGUAACUGCAGAAGAACAACCAGCAAGGAACCUUCUCGUAGGGGAUGAGAGCGCAAUAUCGCGUGCCCGGAAUUUCAUAUAACUGUUUCUUUUUUUUUUGGCGAACGUGAAUUUCAUGUAACUGUAAACUGACUCCCAUCUAUACUGGGAGCGGGGAACAGAGCCAAGCAAAAUUUACAAGGCAAAUGGGCUGGCCACAGCGGACUCCCAUCUAUACUUUUUGCGACCGGGGAUCGAAUCCGGGCUCCAAGUGUGCACACACCGCACCCUCACCAACCCAACCAUCGGGUGGUUCCUCUAGCUGUAUAUAUAACCUUGUCGGAAAUGUCAAGCUAGGAACCAUCAACAACAAAAAUAGCACAGUGCACUUGACUAUCAAUUAGCUGAGGUAGUUGAAUGCCACACCAUCGGCUAAACAAACAAAACGAUGGCACCUAGUAUGACCUUGGUUGGCUACUCUCAUUAUCUCAAAUGAAAUGUUUGCUUACAGCUCACUAUUAAACUUCUUGUAAGAUGACUCAUCAAUUAUAUGGCGUGGUACACAAGUGUUGUGAUACUAUGCUACUGACAUAACAAAAAAUUAAAAAUAAAUCAAUUGGCAAGAUCCAUUACACAUAACCACCAAAGGAAUUAAGUAUCCUCUAUCCUGUAACCAUACCAUUGUACAGAAAGAGUAUGUCCACAGCUUCUAACUGUACAUAUGCCAAAACUGAUUGCUCAACAGUUCCUUUCAGGAUCUAAAAAUCAACGGUUACAAACUCAGAAUACUAUUUUAAGAUAAACAAGGAUACUGGGUGCACCAUGUAAAUUCUGUUUGCAGAUGACAGCAAAUGCACAAUGUAAAUGAUCAAGUUCAUACCUGCAAAGUAAAGGAGCUACAUUGUGUGCUUUACUCCCAGAUGAGAGGUAUCCACAGGAAGAUCAACCUUCUGCAGUGUAACAGUGCAAAUUGCUCAAUCUGUAGCCAGAUAUUAAUUGUGUCUUAUAACAGUCUAUUUGAAUGCUGAAGACAUGAACUUUUGUUGAAAGAAACAAAAUCUAGUACAUUUAUGUUUCCAGCGAUCUUGUUGCACAAGGCAAGCCCAUCCUUCACCGUGUACAUACAAUCUAGUACAAUAUACACCUUGCAUGACUAUACUAACUUUUGGUCCAAGAAGGAAAACAAACCAUAUGUCCAGCUACCGGUUUGCAUAGUCAGUUCAUGUGCUCACAGUUCUUAGGCUAUGCAAGUAAUCUACUUUAUUGGAUUCAUUGACAAUCUCGAGUCCUGUGUGUACGUAAUUCAUAUAAGGCCCUACCUGAUUUUUAUUUCGUUUCUCAAUAGUCUUAAUGAUGAUUUAUUGUAUCUCUUUCCCGAGAUGCAAUUUUUCUUGGUGCUAGGGAAUGGAUCUCUCUUCUAGAGGGGCUUUACUUCUUUCAGUGCUCAUGGAAGAGGAAGGUCUUGGCAAAAUAGCUAGAGGGGCUGCUCAGGGUGGACAAUGAGGGAUGAUGUAUCAUCAUUGAUCAUCAACAUUUUGGUAAGCCACCCGUUGCCUAAAAGGAAGACUAUAUGACCUCCAUGCAAUAUGUAAAUGUUCUUUUGUCGCGCAUCUGAUUUGUUCUCCGUACUUGAUGAUAUUACUGCACCAUUUGUGUAGUAUAAUGAACUACACCUCGCUAUAUGAAUGCUUCUAGCUCAGUAUAACUUGUUAAUAACAACAUCUACAGUUGGGCUUCAAACGAAUUUCCAGAAGAAAGGUUUCAAACAAAUGGUAUGUACUAGGCUUUCAACUUGUCAUGAAUGCAGCAAUCUGCUCCUUCCAAAGCAUUUAUCAUUUAGGCAAUUAUGAUACAGGAGCUAAGAAAAGUUUCAUAAAAAGUCCGUACAUCCAAUAAUAUAAAGAAAAGAAAAGUUUCAUAAAAAGUCCGAUACUUUAAGUCCGUACACCCAAUAAUACAAGGAAACUCAUACAGGUUUACCGUAUAAAGUGUGAUCCUUAUUUGCUACAGUGCGGAACUGUGCAAGAAGGCUCUAAAAGGGAUAUUCUCUCCCUUGAAAACUGGAUUAGAACCAGCCUCUGUGCAUCUCUGCUGAUUGCUCACUACUAGUGGGGACUGGUUCCAAUUUGUGAAAAUUGCAAUGAACAACUAACAACUUUCUCGUCAGUGUUGGGCACUAUCAGCCAUUGAUCCUUUCCUCCAUAACAUUAAAAGUUGAUUACAACUUGUUUUAGUUAGACCUUAGAACUCUUAUUCAACUCUCAGUAUGUAACUUGGUUGUCUUGAAUAAACAUGCUAAUUAGGCAGCCAACACUGGUUACUCAUUUUUGUGCAGGCGAGGUAACACAUUACUACUAUUAAUGAACUACUUGUCCAGGUUGUACUAGACGACCAAACGGGCACUGCAGUUCAGCAAUACUGUAACAGGUGGUACUGUAUUAUACUACAAGUUUGUUCAAGCCAGGACUUAAUAUGGUUAUGAGACAAGUCAAAUCAAGAGACUGCACAUGGAAAUGAAGUGCUAAACAUGUAUAGGAGUCAAUGCAGUUUCAAAGCAUAUUCCUCUAAAGAGUACCUGCAUGCUAGCCAGAGGCGAAUCCCUUGUUGAUACCUCGACCAGAUUUAUUGAAUAGGAAGUGUAUUUGCUAUCCAUGUUUCUGCAUGAGGCUCAUGGGACAGGUCAUGAAUACUUUCAGAAGAAAUACAAGAUGCAGAAAGCCAGAAACAUGAGAUUAAGACAUUAAAGUUCCAUCUGGAGGACCAUCCAGAGCAGGCGCUAGUGCCUCAGCAAAGUUUGACGACCCACAUUCAAAAUUUCAAAUAUAACAUCGCAUUCCCGAUUGGAUAGUGCUCCUUUAAGAACAUCCACCCAAGACAUCGCCGAUGAAAAAUGACCAUCUCAAUGGCACUCAGUUGAAAAAGAAGAAGCAAAUACUCCCUCCGUCCCAAAAAGAAUGUCACCGGCUUAGUUAAUUUUGAUUUUUGCAAAAAAAAAACUUAUGCAUUUAAACCUGUUGCAAAGUCAGCCUGUAUCCUUCCUUCCUCCUCCCCCGUCGUCCACGAGUAGCCAGCCACCGUUGGAGCCAGCGCUGCCCACCUGCAUUGUCGCCACGGAGGCAACCACCGCCCCCCACCUGCGCAGCUAGACCACCGCCGCCCCACCUCGCCCACUGCCGCCCACGGGGGCGACCAGCGCAUCCACCGUCAGGCCCAGCACCGCCUCCCACCUGUGCAGCUUGACCACCGCUGCCCACGGAGGCGACCAGCGCAUCCACCGUCAGGCCCAACGCCGCCUCCCACCUAAGCCGCUGCCACAGGGGCGACCACCGCCGCCGCUCGCAGGAGCAGACACUUCGCCCACUUUGGCGCCGGCGCCACAGAUAAUUCCGGCCGCUCCCGUCGCAAUUGUCAUAGUAACAAGUAAACAAACACAAGAGUCAUGUCCAUAAAGCAAAUAGAUAUACUGGCAAGCAUAGGUGCAGAGAAGCACAUAUAUAGUUAGUAAUAAACUUGGAUAGAUGGUUCAAUACAAGCACAUUGCAUCAAUACCAGUAAUAACUUAGAUGACUUCUUACUUCUAAGUACUCAGAGAAUUUUCAGAGAAAUAUAGAAAUUCAGAGAAACUUGGAGUAUUACAGUGCCAGCAACUUCAGAAUAUUCAGAUUACUUCAGUAUUGUCUACAUGAUCAAUAGUGUUCACUAUAAAUCAAUCAUGUUCACGAAAUUCACAAUCUUGUCUGAAUAUUUUCCGAGAAAUAUAGAAAUUUAGAGAAUGACUGAAUAUUUCAGUUUAUAUACUCAGAGAAUGACUGAAUAUAAAUUCCAUGUAUUUAGUCAGGACCAUGUAUAAAUAUAAAUUCCAUGUAUUUAGUCAGGACCAUGUAUAAAUAUAAAUUCCAUGACUGUCAUUAUCUUUCAGUAAGAGAAAUAUAAAUUCCAUGACUGUCAUUAUCUUUCAGACAGGGCAAUGUAUUUGCACUUCCAUGCCCAUUUAUUAAUUAAGGCCCAACUAAGCUGCUUGAGACCAUAUGGAUAGCAUAGGAAAAUGAGACUGUGCCAUAAGUUCAGUUUUCAUGUACUCCUAUAAUUCUGCAAUAAGUUUGAUUGUGUUAAAUCUACACUAAGAUUCUGUCAUAACUUCAGUUUAUGGAGUAAAUAAUCUGCCAAAUACAGUGUUAUCCUGGUUACAGUAUCUUAACUGGAGUGCUUCUGAAAAAUAUAGCUGACAUGGCAGCAUUUCUGGUUUUAACCACGAAAAGGCAAGGUGCACAAGCAAAUUCAGUUAAAAUGUUAAAUUCAGGACCAUUUAGUCAAUUCUGGUCCAAGGGGCUAAAUCAGAAGUCUGUGGAGUCAUAUCACUUUAUUUCACAGUUGCUAGAAUAGAAACUUAGAAAGCACAAAGAGGCAUCUCUGUUGGCAAAAUCAGACCACCCCAACCCGCUUCCAAAUUUCAAAAUGCUAAGAUGGUACACUGUGGUAGGGAAACAUAACCCCAACAGCAAGAAUAACAAAACAGUGUUCCUGUAUGCACAGCAAAGCAUGCAUAUCUCUCUUGGCAAAAAUCGCAAAAUAUCCUAAGAAUAUGACCAUUACCAGUAAUCACACCAGGAAAACAUAUGAUUUUUCUUCUGCUGAAGAAUAACUCCAAUAUCUCAAAGCAGAUUUGUGAUCGAAGGGAUAUGUUUCAGCGGCUAAAUGUGUGUGCACCAUUCUGUACCAACCUAGAGGCUACACCAUUUCACAGCAUCCACAGUUAUCCACAAAGAUUAACAGUGCCUAGACCAUUCUAUACCAAUGUAGAGGCUACAGCUGACAUCUGCACCGACACUACGCUGGAAACACAGGCAGAUUCAGAGGAAAAUGCAGCAGAGACAGCUCCUAUCUCGCCGGACAACACAACACAACCGCCCGUUCGACACCUAGCUAGUACUGUAGCAACUGCAGCAACCUGGAGAGAUAACCUGGUACGAUCAGGUCGUGGAGAGGGUCGAGGAUGCUGCAGGCAGCUCCCGUGGUGUUGGUGAGGGCGUGGAGCGAUGGAAGGAGGCGGACACGGAGGGAAGCUGCGGGAGGUAGUGGGUAGCGGCGACCGGCAGGAGGAAAAGGCGGCGGGCCUGGAGCCCCCCGUCACGGCGGCGCCCUUGUUGGCGGUCUGCUCCUCUCAUGGUGAGAGGGACCGGCGCUGGCUCAUGCGCCAGUCCCCCGCCCACAGCGCCUGGCGAGCGCGGGAGAUGUCGCCGGCGGAGAGGGCGGCCGGGCGGAGCAGGGUUGGUGGGCGGAGGAGGAAAGGCUGGUCCGUCUGUGGUUGGGCUCGGUCAGUAGGGUCCAUCGG
rnacentral:lncRNA from 1 species